rnacentral:lncRNA from 1 species
UGCAUCAAAUUAACCUUCUUACUCAAUUAAUUUCAUAUUUUGACAACACUCUUCAAACCUUCAAAGACAUUAACAAUGGCAUAAGCAUGAAAACAUUCAUAACAAAAUAUUUAACACAUUGAUACACGAAUUUGAACAUCAAAAUCAUCAUAUAACAUCAACACAACACAAUUAUACAAAUUUCAUAUACAACACAUACAAUCCAAUCGGAGGCUAAGAAUUCCUCAACUCUACCCCCUCAUGCUUAAUACCCAUUAAAAAAGAAAUCUCCCAUUUACCUUGUUUUUCUAAUAGCAAUGGAAUCUCCCACUUAGAUUCUUCUUCUAGUACCUCUAGCCUUUUUUAUCUCACUCUUGCCUCCUGGCCUCUUUUCCAAAAUUCC